rnacentral:lncRNA from 1 species
AAAUACGGUCUACGUGGCAGCCGGGGAGGUAGAGAGGACGUCGCUGGGGCGCCUCAGGGACUUUCCCUGUCCCGCUGGGAAAGCGUGAUCUCACCCGGUUCCUCCCUCCUCGCCGGACGCGGAAGGGGCGGGCGGAGGCCGUGCGCCUGGGGCUACAGGCGCGCCCUCCGCGCCCUGCCAUCCGCGGGCAUCGCCACCAGGCCAUCAGGCCACCAACAUCCGCCCCGAGGACCCGAGCAGUGCGGCCGGUCGCCCCCGCGACCCCAGCUAUUUCAGAUUGACUUCUCACACUGUUGCUGGUGUAGUCGGGAGUUGGUCAGUUCUACAGCCCCCAGGGGUCCUGGUGCCCGUGAGCAGGGUGGAGACACCGGGCCUGCAGCGCAGCGGGGCGGCGUGCGGAACAUGACUUCAUCAUCCAGUGUUUCUCCCGCAGCCGCUGGA